rnacentral:tRNA from 1 species
GGGAAGUUAGCUCAGUGGUAGAGCGUUUGCCUUGCAUGCAAGAGGCCCUGGGUUCGAUUCCUCAGCAUCACA